rnacentral:rRNA from 1 species
GUGACGAUAGCCUAGGAGAUACACCUGUACCCAUGCCGAACACAGCAGUUAAGCCCUAGAACGCCGGAAGUAGUUGGGGGUUGCCCCCUGUGAGAUAUGGAAGUCGCUUAGC